ACACGGAGGGCGCAAGCGUUGCUCGGAAUCACUGGGCGUAAAGCGGGUGUAGGCGGUCUAGCAAGUCAGAUGUGAAAGCCCACGGCUCAACCGUGGAAGUGCAUCUGAAACUGCUAGACUUGAGUGCCGGAGAGGGAAGUGGAAUUCCUGGUGUAGGGGUGAAAUCCGUAGAUAUCAGGAGGAACACCGGUGGCGAAGGCGACUUCCUGGACGGCCACUGACGCUGAGACCCGAAAGCGUGGGGAGCAAACAGGAGUAGAAACCCCAGUAGUCC
rnacentral:rRNA from 1 species